rfam:Parcubacteria group bacterium CG2_30_36_38 cg2_3.0_scaffold_4599_c, whole genome shotgun sequence.
GCCAGAGUAGUUCAGUGGUAGAACGUCUCCUUGGUAAGGAGAAAGUCGGGAGUUCGAUUCCCCCCUCUGGCU